GGGGAUUUAGCUUAGUGGCACUGUGUCUGCCUCAGAAGCACAAGGUCCUGAGUUCAAUCCCCAGUACCCCCU
rnacentral:tRNA from 1 species